CGCUGGCGGCGUGCCUAAUACAUGCAAGUCGAACGGUCUUUCUAUGGAAGCUUGCUUCACUGAGAAGAUAGUGGCGAACGGGUGAGUAACACGUGGGUAACCUGCCCAUAAGAGGGGGAUAACAUCCGGAAACGGGUGCUAAUACCGCAUAGUUUUCUUGAUCGCAUGAUCGGGAAAGGAAAGACGGCCUUUGUGCUGUCGCUUAUGGAUGGACCCGCGGCGUAUUAGUUAGUUGGUGAGGUAACGGCUCACCAAGACGAUGAUACGUAGCCGACCUGAGAGGGUGAUCGGCCACAUUGGGACUGAGACACGGCCCAAACUCCUACGGGAGGCAGCAGUAGGGAAUCUUCCGCAAUGGACGAAAGUCUGACGGAGCAACGCCGCGUGAGUGAAGAGGGUUUUUUCCGGAUCGUAAAACUCUGUUGUCAGAGAAGAACAAGUUGGAGAGUAACUGCUCCAGCCUUGACGGUAUCUGACCAGAAAGCCACGGCUAACUACGUGCCAGCAGCAGC
rnacentral:rRNA from 1 species